UAGGGAAUCUUCGGCAAUGGACGCAAGUCUGACCGAGCAACGCCGCGUGAGUGAAGAAGGUUUUCGGAUCGUAAAACUCUGUUGUUAGAGAAGAACGUCAGUGAGAGUGGAAAGUUCACUGAGUGACGGUAUCUAACCAGAAAGGGACGGCUAACUACGUGC
rnacentral:rRNA from 1 species